AUGGUCCAACUACAAAACUUCUUAUUUUUCAUUACUUCCAUGGUCGUGCCCCGUGGCACGGCAGCACCCGUACUAUUGAAAUGGUUCGUCGGUAGAGAUGUUCCCACUGGUGCCUCUUCUUCCAAUGGUACUAUAAUUCCUAUUCCUAUCCCUUUAUUCCCUUUUUUGGUCGAUCUACAUUUAAGGAAAUUCAUACGCUCCAUGGACAGAGCAAAACGUGGAGUGUUGGUCAAAGCAAGCCGCCCUAUUCUAUUACCAGACAAAAUGGAGAGAAGCUCAUCCGCUAGAAAUGCGUUAUUUCAUUUUGUUCCCGUUCUUCAUUUCCUUAUUAUCGAAUCCAUGGGGGACUUGUCAUAUUUAGAAUCUUUCUGCGGUCUGCUUUGUUUACAAUUCUUUCGUACUCUCUUCUCUUUACCACGCGAUAGGUCAGCGAAGCAUGAGUGGGCGCUCCAAAGUAAUGUCCAAACACUUCGGCCUAAGGGGAAUGAGCAACAAAAUGACAAGAUGAGGUGCCCCGGGCACCCCCAUAUAGAAAUAAGGGUCGAAGGUUUUGGGCCUGUAGCUUUCCCUGCCCCCCCCCCUCGUCGAGUGGUGCUUGUUUGGCGGGUGUGCCACCAAAAAAGCGGGCUUGAAGCUCUCGCCUUACCAAUGAGCCGACUGCUGAUGGCUGUUGGUCACGACUACUACAAAAAAGUGAAGAUGAAUCUUUCUAUUUCACAUGGAGGAGUGUGCAUCUUUAUGUUGGGUGUUCUUCUGUCGUCAACUAAUACAAAUAAGAUACAUUUCACUCAAUGA
rnacentral:rRNA from 1 species